AAGAGCCCAAGGGCAACUGACGUUGAAAACCCUCAGGGGUUUUCGAUGAGGAAAGUCCCCUCUCACGAACGGCCCGGCCUGUCGCAAGGCAGGAUCCCGAGAGGGAUGGCAAUGGAACAGAAACGCCACAGCUCAGGUAAUAAGGAUGAUUCCCGCUGGGGAUGACUUUCCCUGAGAUUUGUUGAAACGGCCAACCCCGGGUGAGCAAGCCCAAACAGAUGGGAUGAUAGGUUCUUGACCAUCGGGUAGGGCGCAUUAGUCGAAUGUUGCCUGAAACAGAAAGGGGCUUACUAUGGGCACUU
rnacentral:RNase_P_RNA from 1 species